ACUGACUUGUGCCAGUCAUUCUGUGAACUAUUAAAGGAUAUAACUAUUGAAGGUCAAGUUCAAGUUUUAAAGGUUGUGGAAAAUGUCAUAAAAGUAAACCCUGUUUUGGGGCCUCAAAUGUUUCAACCUCUUCUUCUAUCAGUAUUUAGGGGAAUUAUGGAUGGGGAGAGAUAUCCAAUGGUGAUGUCUACUUAUCUGCGGGUCAUGGGGAGAGUUCUUCUACAAAAUACAAGUUUUUUUUCAUUACUUUUGAGCCAGAUGGCUUGUGAAUUGGGUCGGGAGUUGGACCAACUUCUUGGUAACAUGUUUGAAA